rnacentral:rRNA from 1 species
UUUGGCAGCAACAGUGCAAUGGACCCACCUGAAUCCAUAUCGAACUCAGAAGUGAAACAUUGUUACGCCGAUGGUAGUGUGGGGCUUCCCCAUGUGAGAGUAGGUCACUGCCAAUU